AUUGAACGCUGGCGGCAGGCUUAACACAUGCAAGUCGAACGGUAACAGGGGGUAGCUUGCUACUUUGCUGACGAGUGGCGGACGGGUGAGUAACGCGUGGGAAUAUGCCCUUCUCUACGGAAUAGUCUCGGGAAACUGGGGGUAAUACCGUAUACGCCCUUUGGGGGAAAGAUUUAUCGGAGAAGGAUUAGCCCGCGUUGGAUUAGGUAGUUGGUGGGGUAAUGGCCUACCAAGCCGACGAUCCAUAG
rnacentral:rRNA from 1 species